rnacentral:rRNA from 1 species
AUUGAACGCUGGCGGCAUGCUUACACAUGCAAGUCGAACGGUAACAGGGAAAAGCUUGCUUUUCUGCUGACGAGUGGCGAACGGGUGAGUAACACAUCGGAACGUGCCCUGUAGUGGGGGAUAACUACUCGAAAGAGUGGCUAAUACCGCAUACAACCUGAGGGUAAAAGUGGGGGACCGCAAGGCCUCACGCUAUAGGAGCGGCCGAUGGAAGAUUAGGUAGUUGGUAGGGUAAAGGCCUACCAAGCCGACGAUCUUUAGCGGGUCUGAGAGGACGAUCCGCCACACUGGGACUGAGACACGGCCCAGACUCCUACGGGAGGCAGCAGUCGAGAAUAGUCUACAAUGGCCGAAAGGCUGAUAGUGCGACGCCGCGUGAACGAAGAAGCCCUUCGGGGUGUAAAGUUCUUUUAUAUGUGAGCAGUGCUUUCUAUGUGAACAGCAUGGGGAGAGAGAUAUUAGCAUAUGAAUAAGCAACGGCUAACUCCGUG